rnacentral:rRNA from 1 species
AUAUGCUUGUCCCGAAGCUUAAGCCAUGCAUGUCUAAGAACGAGGGAUCUCUCCGAAUCUGCGAAAGGCUCCGUAUAUCUGUUCUGACCCGCCACCCACCACGGAGGUAGCGGAUACCCCCGGUAAUUCUGAGGUUAAUACGUGCAAUCGGGGCUGCUGCGCGAAGCGGCGGCCCCCCAGGCUUGGACCACGCAACGCCAGGGCGGUGCUCACUGCCGGCUAGCAACCGGGGCAGCCAGGGGGAUUGGCGGGAGGGCCCUGCGCCCGCCCGCCGCCCCCUGGUCCCCCUGGGCGAAAGCGUGAGGGAGUCCAAGUUCCUGGACCGCCCCCUGUUGGGCGGCCGGGUGGCGGGGGCCAGACCUAUCAACUAGACGGCCAGGGAUAGCCUGGCCGUGGUGAUAACGGGUACAGAGGAUCAGGGUUCGAUCCUGGAGAGGUAGCCUGAGAGAUCGCUACUACUUCUAAGGAAGGCAGCAGGCGCGCAACGUUCCCAAUGGGGAUACCCUGAGGACGUCAGGGGACAUACCAAUGCCCGGCCCUUAAAGCCGGGCAAUUGGCAUGGGGGAUCGCCAAACCUCCCACCGAGUAACAAUUGGAGGACAAGUCUGGUGCCAGCACCCGCGGUAAUUCCAGCUCCAAUAGCAUCUAGUUAAGUUGUUGCAGUUAAAACGCUCGUAGUCGAAGGCGGCGUGUCGCCUUCCCGCCCGGUACCCCUCGCGCCGGCCCGCCCCCGCUCACGCGGGGUGCCCGGGCCGGCCCUGGGGGAAAGGCGGGGUCGAGGCGGCCGCUUCUUGCCCGGGAUCCGCUCGCGCCGGGGCUUCAGUGACCCGGCCGGGCGCCCAGGCAGUUUCCUUUGACCAAAUGUGAGCGCUCCAAGCAGGCCAGUUGGGCCCUGAAACCUCCAGCAAAGAAUAAUAGAACAAGGGCCCCCUGCCCGGUUGGUGCAGGUCGGGUCAAUGAUCAAUAGGGGCGAUCGGGGCGGGCCACAUGGCGGGGGUAGGGGUGAAAUCCGUUGAUCCUCGCUAGGUGAACUAGAGCGAAAGCAGCCCGCUAGUACGCUUUCUUUGAUCAAGAACGAAAGUCUGGGGAUCGAAGAUGAUCAGAUACCAUCGUAGUCCAGACCCUAAACGCUGCCGGCCAUGGAUGGGCUCUCGUCCAUUCCGACCCAGCCCGCACCUUGUGGGAAACCAUAAGCGUUUGGGCUCCGGGGGGAGUAUGGUCGCAAGGCUGAAACUUAAAGGAAUUGACGGAAGAGCACACAAGGAGUGGAGCCUGCGGCUUAAUUUGACUCAACACGGGGAAACUCACUAGGGCAAGAGGGGGGCAGGAUGGACAGGCUAGCAGGCCUUUCCUGAUUCCCCCAGUGGUGGUGCAUGGUCGUUCUUAGUUCGUGGAUUGUUUUGUCUGGUCUAUUCCGCUAACGAGCGAGAACCUACUUACCGAGGUUAGGCCCCCAGGCACGCCCAGCGGGCCGCGAGGCCCGCAGGGGCUGAAAACGCCGGGGGGCUCGGUCCGGGGAGACGAGCGGCGUCAAGCUGCUGGCAGCAGGUCAAUAACAGGUCAGUGAUGCCCUUAGAUGCUCUAGGCUGCACGCGCGCUACAAUGGGGCAAGUACCGGGCCUCCCUGUGCCGAGAGGCGGCGGGGAAUCCUCGGGAAAAUGCCCCGUGUCCGGGAUAGCGGCGUGUAAAUCGCCCCUUGAACAAGGAAUUUCUAGUAGUCAUGGGUCACCAGCCCGUGGCGAUUC